AGCGAACGCUGGCGGCAGGCCUAACACAUGCAAGUCGAACGAACUCUUCGGAGUUAGUGGCGGACGGGUGAGUAACACGUGGGAACGUGCCUUUAGGUUCGGAAUAACUCAGGGAAACUUGUGCUAAUACCGAAUGUGCCCUUCGGGGGAAAGAUUUAUCGCCUUUAGAGCGGCCCGCGUCUGAUUAGCUUGUUGGUGGG
rnacentral:rRNA from 1 species